AAACCAGCACCUCAAGUGGUCAGGAGGAUUAUUGGGCCUAAAGCAUCCGUAGCCUGUUCUAUAAGUUUCCGGCUAAAUCCAUUAGCUCAACUAAUGGGCUGCCGGAAAUACUGUAGAACUAGGGAGUGGGAGAGGUAGACGGUAUUCGGUAGGAAGGGGUAAAAUCCUUUGAUCUAUUGAGGACCACCUGUGGCGAAGGCGGUCUACCAGAACACGUUCGACGGUGAGGGAUGAAAGCUGGGGGAGCAAACCGGAUUAGAAACCCGAGUAGUCC
rnacentral:rRNA from 1 species